rnacentral:rRNA from 1 species
GAGUUUAUCCUGGCUCAGAAUCAACGCUGGCGGCGUGCCUAACACAUGCAAGUCGAGCGGUAACAGGUGUAGCAAUACAUGCUGACGAGCGGCGGACGGGUGAGUAACGCUUGGGAAUCUGCCUGUUAGUGGGGGACAACCCGGGGAAACACGGGCUAAUACCGCAUACGCACUACGGUGGAAAGCCGGGGACCGCAAGGCCUGGCGCUAACAGAUGAGCCCUUGUCGGAUUAGCUAGUUGGUAGGGUAACGGCCUACCAAGGCGACGAUCCGUAACUGGUCUGAGAGGACGACCAGUCACACCGGAACUGAGACACGGUCCGGACUCCUACGGGAGGCAGCAGUGGGGAAUAUUGGACAAUGGGCGAAAGCCUGAUCCAGCGACGCCGCGUGGGUGAAGAAGGCCUGCGGGUUGUAAAGCCCUUUCGGUGGGGAAGAAAAGCCUCGAGCUAACACCUUGGGGUCUUGACGUAACCCAUAGAAGAAGCCCCGGCCAACUACGUGCCAGCAGCCGCGGUAACACGUAGGGGGCGAGCGUUGUCCGGAUUUAUUGGGCGUAAAGAGCUCGUAGGCGGUUUCGUAAGUCGGAUGUGAAAACUCCAGGCUCAACUUGGAGACGCCAUUCGAUACUGCGAUGACUUGAGUCCGGUAGGGGAGUGUGGAAUUCCUGGUGUAGCGGUGAAAUGCGCAGAUAUCAGGAGGAACACCGGCGGCGAAGGCGGCACUCUGGGCCGGUACUGACGCUGAGGAGCGAAAGCGUGGGUAGCAAACAGGAUUAGAUACCCUGGUAGUCCACGCCGUAAACGAUGUGUGCUUGACGUUGGCGGGUUUACCCGCCGGUGUCGCAGCUAACGCGAUAAGCACACCGCCUAGGGAGUACGGCCGCAAGGUUAAAACUCAAAGGAAUUGACGGGGGCCCGCACAAGCGGUGGAGCAUGUGGUUUAAUUCGACGCAACGCGAAGAACCUUACCAGCCCUUGACAUGGGGAGUAUGGGUUGCCGAGAGGUGAUCCUUCAGUUCGGCUGGCUCCCACACAGGUGCUGCAUGGCUGUCGUCAGCUCGCGUCGUGAGAUGUUGGGUUAAGUCCCGCAACGAGCGCAACCCUCGCCUCCAGUUGCCAUCAGGUUAAGCUGGGCACUUUGGAGGAACUGCCGGUGACAAGCCGGAGGAAGGUGGGGAUGACGUCAAGUCCUCAUGGCCCCUACGGGCUGGGCUACACACGUGCUACAAUGGCGGUGACAGAGGGAAGCGAAGGAGCGAUCCGGAGCCAAUCUCAAAAAGCCGUCUCAGUUCGGAUUGCACUCUGCAACUCGGGUGCAUGAAGGUGGAAUCGCUAGUAAUCCCGGAUCAGCACGCCGGGGUGAAUACGUUCCCGGGCCUUGCACACAC